GGAUAGCUCAGUUGGCAGAGCCUGAGACUUGUAAUCUCAGGGUCAGGAGUUCUAGCCCCAUGUUGGGCU